GUCCCUUCUAAGGGUCCCACUACCAGGGUAUAUAUUUUUAAGGGAUUUUUGGUUGCCAUGGAUGAUAAUUGUGUUUGAUUGUGAGGAUUUAUUGAUUGUUUCGGUGUAAAGGCUGCAAUUUUAUGUCAAUUUGGUUUGGUUUAUUUGGCGCUUGUUGGUUUUUGGUUGCCUUAUGAUGCCUGUGUAAUGGGGAUUGCUAUGUUUAGGGCUAUGGUUUUGAAAUUAACAGUUUUAUUUAUUUAUUUUUGGGGAUUGGGAAGG
rnacentral:misc_RNA from 1 species